AGUAACACGUGGAUAACCUACCUAUAAGACUGGGAUAACUUCGGGAAACCGGAGCUAAUACCGGAUAAUAUAUUGAACCGCAUGGUUCAAUAGUGAAAGACUGUUUUGCUGUCACUUAUAGAUGGAUCCGCGCCGCAUUAGCUAGUUGGUAAGGUAACGGCUUACCAAUGCAACGAUGCGUAGCCGACCUGAGAGGGUGAUCGGCCACACUGGAACUGAGACACGGUCCAG
rnacentral:rRNA from 1 species